CCUGGUGGCAAGUGGGAGUAGACGGUGCGUGGGAGUGGACGGGCGGCAGGAAUCUACGGGCGGAGGCGGUGCGCACAAGGCAUGGCGGCGUGAUGUUCGGUGGCAGCAGGAAUCGGGACGGGGAGAGGAGGAGUUUGCACUCAGGGUGGAUGUAGAGGAUAGUCAGAGAGAGAGAGAGAGCGAGAAAUUGGAAGAAUUUUUUUGAGAAAUAAAGUACGGAGUAUGAGCAAUAUGAGAACAGCGCAAGGAGAAAUAUAAAAAUAAGACACGUGAAAAAGAGAAAAAAAGACCAGAGUAUAGCCCAC
rnacentral:lncRNA from 1 species